UACGAAGGGGGGCUAGCGUUGUUCGGAAUUACUGGGCGUAAAGCGCACGUAGGCGGAUAUUUAAGUCAGGGGUGAAAUCCCAGAGCUCAACUCUGGAACUGCCUUUGAUACUGGGUAUCUUGAGUAUGGAAGAGGUAAGUGGAAUUGCGAGUGUAGAGGUGAAAUUCGUAGAUAUUCGCAAGAACACCAGUGGCGAAGGCGGCUCACUGGUCCGGUACUGACGCUGAGGUGCGAAAGCGUGGGGGAGCAAACAGG
rnacentral:rRNA from 1 species